rnacentral:rRNA from 1 species
GAUGAACGCUAGCUACAGGCUUAACACAUGCAAGUCGAGGGGAAACGGCAUUGAGUGCUUGCACUCUUUGGACGUCGACCGGCGCACGGGUGAGUAACGCGUAUCCAACCUUCCCAUUACUGUGGGAUAACCUGCCGAAAGGCAGACUAAUACCGCAUAGUCUUCGAUGACGGCAUCAGAUUUGAAGUAAAGAUUUAUCGGUAAUGGAUGGGGAUGCGUCUGAUUAGCUUGUUGGCGGGGUAACGGCCCACCAAGGCAACGAUCAGUAGGGGUUCUGAGAGGAAGGUCCCCCACAUUGGAACUGAGACACGGUCCAAACUCCUACGGGAGGCAGCAGUGAGGAAUAUUGGUCAAUGGACGGAAGUCUGAACCAGCCAAGUAGCGUGCAGGAUGACGGCCCUAUGGGUUGUAAACUGCUUUUGUAUGGGGAUAAAGUUAGGGACGUGUCCCUAUUUGCAGGUACCAUACGAAUAAGGACCGGCUAAUUCCGUGCCAGCAGCCGCGGUAAUACGGAAGGUCCAGGCGUUAUCCGGAUUUAUUGGGUUUAAAGGGAGCGUAGGCUGGAGAUUAAGUGUGUUGUGAAAUGUAGACGCUCAACGUCUGAAUUGCAGCGCAUACUGGUUUCCUUGAGUACGCACAACGUNNGCGGAAUUCGUCGUGUAGCGGUGAAAUGCUUAGAUAUGACGAAGAACUCCGAUUNNGAAGGCAGCUGACGGGAGCGCAACUGACGCUUAAGCUCGAAGGUGCGGGUAUCAAACAGG